AUUGCACGCUGGCGGCAGGCCUAACACAUGCAAGUCGAACGAGUGGCGGACGGGUGAGUAAUGUCUGGGAAACUGCCUGAUGGAGGGGGAUAACUACUGGAAACGGUAGCUAAUACCGCAUACCAUCAGAUGUGCCCCGAUGGGAUUAGCUAGUUGGUGGGGUACCGGCGCACCAGGUCGACGCUCCCUAGCGGGUCUGAGAGGAUGCCCAGCCACACUGGAACGGAGACACGUGCCAGACUCCGACGGGAGGCAGCAGUGGGGAAUAUUGGAGAAUGGGCGCAAGCCUGAUGCAGCCAUGCCGCGUGUAUGAAGAAGGCCUUCGGGUUGUAAAGUACUUUCAGCGGGGAGGCGUUACCCGCAGAGGAAGCACCGGCUAACUCCGUGCCAGCAGCCGCGGUAAUUC
rnacentral:rRNA from 1 species